CCUCUGCGGCGCGCAUGCGCAGCGGUGCCCCGGGGCCGGUGGCGGUGCGGGCCAUGGCGGGGCGCGGGAAGCUGAUCGCGGUGGUGGGGGACGAGGACACGGUGACCGGGUUCCUGCUGGGCGGCGUGGGGGAGCUGGAUAAGCACCGCAAGCCUAACUUCCUGGUGGUGGAGAAGGAAACCAGCCUGGCCGAGAUCGAGGAGACGUUCCGGAGCUUCCUGAACCGGGAGGACAUCGGGAUCAUCCUGAUCAGCCAGUGCCUGGCCGAGCUGAUCCGCCACGCCGUGGAGGCGCACGCCCGCCCGCUGCCCGCCGUGCUGGAGAUCCCCUCCAAGGAGCACCCCUACGACCCCGCCAAGGACUCCGUCCUGCGCCGCGCCCGCGGGGUCUUCAGCCCCGAGGACAUGCGCUAGGCACGUCCCCGCACCCACCCGGGGUCCCUGCACCCACCCCCGGGGGUCCCUGCACCCACCCCCGGGGGUCCCCGCCCCAAGCGUCCCCACCCCAGGGUGCUGCUGGGGGUCCUCACCCCACCCCAGGGAUCCCCACCCCAGGGUGUUGCUGGGGGUCCUCACCCCAUCCCAAGGGUCCUCACCCCACCCCAGGGUGCUGUCAGAGGGUCUCCACCCCAUCCCAAGGGUCCCCCCCCCACCCCAGGGUGCUGCAGGGGGUCCUCACCCCACCCCAAGGGUCCUCACCCCACCCCAGGGUGCUGCCGGGGGUCCCCGCGCUGCCCCGUGACACUUGCUCAGCCGCCCUGGGGAAGGGGAAGUGUCACCGCGCCGGCGCUGCCGGAAUCUGCCUGCUCCUGCCUGCUGCUGCCGGAUCCUGCCUGCCACGGCUGGCACAGGCAGGGAGGAGAUGGCUCCGAGAGGGUGUCGGGGUGGGGGGGCACCCCAAGGACACCAGGCGCUUGUGAUGUCACCGUGGGACCCCAGCGGCACCCCAGGGUGGGGGCUGGUGGUCGCUGACCCCCCCGCGUGUGUGUGUCCCCCCCCCCCCCGUGUCCCCAACACGCGCUGUCACCGCU